AGAAGAGCCUUGGGAGAUCUCAUUUUCUUUAGCUUUCUAAACCUUUAUUUUCUUGGCCCAAUAAACCUAUCUGGCUAUCAAUGAAGUCUGGCUCAAUUUAAUUAACUAUCCCUAGCAUAAGUACAGUCUAAAAAGAAAGGCCUGCAGGGGAGGACUCCCCCUCCUCUACCUUCUUCUCCUUCCUUUCCCUACCUUUCCCCUCCUACCCUUUCUCCUCCAUUUUUCUCUACACAUUAUUUGGUGACCUGAACCUACAACCAGCUCAACCUGCUUGCUGCUCUGCCUCACAAGUCUUUAGGGUCUCCAGGUUUAUCAGGAAGUUCCAUGGAUUGAGAGCCAGACCUGAAGAUGGGAGGUCCUGGGUUCAAAUAUGGCCUCAGAUGCUUACUAGCUUUGGAACCCUGAGCAGGUCACUUAAUGCCAAUUACCCAGUUUUUAUAGAUCUUCUGCCUUGGAACCAAUAUUUAGUAUUGAUUCUAAGAUGAAAGGUUACACUCUGGAUUUCAUUUACCAACCCCAGCUCUUCAUCUUGAAGUGUUACUCCAGUACUGAAAUAUAUAUACAUUGGAAUUGACUGAAAUUCAUACAGGUAAGUAAAAAAAAUCAUCUAUAACACAAUUUAGCAGUAAUAACAGACAUCAUAUUUAUCCAUGGC
rnacentral:lncRNA from 1 species